UGGCGGUUCCCAACAGCUUGUACAAAUACCUUGCGCUUGUUUGCUUUGACCAAGAACUUUAGUUUUCGUGAAGUCAAAGACAUGAUAAAGUUAUUUUCAAGACGGAGAACACGGCAAGGAUCAGUCGAAGUGGAGAUGACAUCCUUUCUGGACAUUUAUACAUUUUCUCUCAAAGUAUUUGUGCUGUCAGCGCUGGAAGAAAAGUCACGGACAUCUGCGAAGAAGUUUGCAAAAGAACGUUCACCAGACGGAUCUUUCUCAGAAAUACAGACAUUCUGAUUGUAACUUAGGUGAGUUUGAGCGUUUUUGAAGCUCAAAGUGGGUGGAGCCGGCUGUUGCCAUCUUGGCAGCGCGUCACCGCAUGUCGCUCCUGGAUAAUUGAAAAUGGGCAAAAAGGUGGGAGCUGCUGAAACCACGCCCACCUAGUGCGAUGGUGGUGACAGCGGUGCCAAUCCACCUGUCACUCAAGUGGCCACGCCCUUAAUUAUGAAGAAUUUUUAGGCUUAAUAUAAUCUAAACGGAUGAGUUAUAAAAAAAAAUCACCCCCUCACAGUUGUCAUGAAGGGUAAAAUUAGCUGUAUAGACCAAAAUAAUUUUUUGAACCAGGCUGUAAACAUGUUUUUUUCUGCUAUAAAGUUGGGCAUUUUAACAUGGGGAGUCUAUGGGAUUGACUCCCUUUUGCAGCCAGCCUCUAGCAGCCAGUUGAGGAAUUACAGUUUAAGUCACUUCCGUGUUGGCUUCACGAGAGAGAGCGUGAGGUUGCGUUAGCUUGGCUACUUUGGAUGACACUUUUAUCCAAAGCAAUUAAUAAAUUUAGACAUUUAGAAUUCAAUUUAGAGGUUUUGUCAUAUGGGCCUUUACAUUUAAGGCCUGUUUACACCAAGAAUGAUAACCAUAAUGAUAAUAAUAACUAUAUUAGCACCCACACCAAUGAACAUUCUGUAAUGUUCUGUAAAGUAUAAGUGCAUACUGCAGUUUUGUCAUCUGCUUCUUUACAUGUGUGAACGUUUUAAGUAAAUUUAUAAAACGCUAAACACAUCAAAGAGUAAAAAAAACAACAACCCGAAAUUAGCCUGGGUUAGUGCAGGUUAUUUGCUUCUUGUUUGCUCUGCUGUGUGCCUGUAAUCAAACAGGCAAAACAGCUCAGACGAUUUAUCAUAUUACACAAACUAUGCGUUGUUUUGACAUUGUUGCAGUUAAUGCUUUAAUGCUUAACAUUCAAUCAUUACCUUUUCGAAAUAAUCCAUUAAACAUGUUACAAUUUGAGGAGAGUGCACUAAAAUUUUCAGUUCCAUUCAUUUGCGCGUUGUCUCAAGUACACGCCCACAAUAUGGGAACUAAUGAAUAUUCAUGUAAACUCCACCCAAUGUAACAAUUUUUUCACAGGAACUCUAUAUUACACAACACCGAACAAGCACGUCAGUGAAUUAAAUGUCAGUUUUGCAUUUUUCUCUGAAACUGGCAGUGCAUAGCCUAGAUUUAUGCUUUCAGUUUGAGUGGAAAUCUUAUACAGUAUAACAGUUAGUCGAUCUAAACAGUGAUUGUUCAUUAACAGCAGUCAACAAUGUUGGUACGCAAAUGAGUCGUCUGAACAUAUUUACACAUAGCAUUUUUUUAUUUUGGUCGUGAACUUAUGUGCACCCCUGUUUAUAGCUAUAAUUGUCAUUAUUACAGUUAUUGUCCUUGAUGUGAACAUCCCUUUAAUCUUUGAACAGUAAAAUAUCUAGGCCAGCAGUUUCUUCCUAUCUUCUUCACAUCUGUGUACAUUACAUCACAAUACAUUACUCUGAGUUAUUUUCUGUGCAUCAGUGAAACAGCCAAUCAAAUGUAACCUCAGUAGUGCGCAAAGACGAUUUAAAAAUCAGCAGAUUUUGUGUCCCUCAUGUGUUAGCAUUGUAGUUGUGAUCAAAUGGAGGAUAAUGUGUCAAGACCUAUUUAUUAAACUCUUCAUUACUGCAUUCGACACAUUGAGUAAGUCUUUUUCACUCUUCAUUUCAUGUUUCUUUUUUCUUGUUUUUAAUUCAGUUUUGCACUCAUGGUAGAGUGUAAGUGUGGGAUAGCAUGACUUCCUGCUGACCUCUGAGAGUUAGCGUUUUCUGUUAAUCAGUGUUCUGGUGACACAGAUGACUUGUUCUCUUACUGUGAGUUUCGUGCUUAGAAUCAGGGAACUGUGUUUAACUGCCUGUCGAGUGCAGAGGAGUGUGACCUCCAGCAAGGUCAGAGAGGUCUUCGUCAUCUGAUUCUGCUUCGGGUGGUUUUGGGUUCCUGGAAAAAAGGAGACAGAGAGUUAAAGCAAUGUGAGUGAAUGGAAACAAGUGAUUCUGUGUGAAACAGAAAAAUCGAUGUGUUUUCUCACAUCUCAGGUGCAUCACAUUAGAAAAUGGGACAGUGUUGUUUUGUUGCAUUUAAAGAUCAGGAAACACAAGAAAGGGAAAAUCAGCACAUAAAAGUAGAUAAAAAUAGUUUUAUAUUUGCUGUAGUUGUUAUCCAUACAUAUUUUUAUUUAUUAGUAUAGACUUCAAUUCAGUUUUGAAGAACAUUCUCACAAAAACAGUCAAAUGCAUAACCAGUGCCCUCUGAUUUGAUAGAUGUGUUGAAUAGGUAACAAGUUGUGGUUACUGUUAAAGUCAGAGGAGGAUUCUAGACAUUGACUUAACC
ensembl:lncRNA